GGUCAUAACGUGGAUGAUCUUGUCUCCAUUCUUAAGGAAGUUAAGAGUACAAAAACCACUGGUCCAGUCCUCAUCCAUGUUGUCACUGAGAAAGGACGAGGCUAUCCAUAUGCUGAAAAAGCUGCUGACAAGUACCAUGGAGUCACAAAGUUUGAUCCUGCUACUGGAAAACAACAGAAACCCAAGGCUCCAACGCAGUCGUACACGACAUACUUUGCAGAGGCAUUGAUUGCAGAAGCUGAAAAGGAC
rnacentral:misc_RNA from 1 species